rnacentral:rRNA from 1 species
CCUACGGGCGGCAGCAGUGGGGAAUAUUGCACAAUGGGCGCAAGCCUGAUGCAGCCAUGCCGCGUGUGUGAAGAAGGCCUUCGGGUUGUAAAGCACUUUCAGCGGGGAGGAAGGCGUUAAGGUUAAUAACCUUGUCGAUUGACGUUACCCGCAGAAGAAGCACCGGCUAACUCCGUGCCAGCAGCCGCGGUAAUACGGAGGGUGCAAGCGUUAAUCGGAAUUACUGGGCGUAAAGCGCACGCAGGCGGUCUGUCAAGUCGGAUGUGAAAUCCCCGGGCUCAACCUGGGAACUGCAUUCGAAACUGGCAGGCUAGAGUCCUGUAGAGGGGGGUAGAAUUCCAGGUGUAGCGGUGAAAUGCGUAGAGAUCUGGAGGAAUACCGGUGGCGAAGGCGGCCCCCUGGACAAAGACUGACGCUCAGGUGCGAAAGCGUGGGGAGCAAACAGGAUUAGAUACCCCUGUAGUC